rnacentral:rRNA from 1 species
UGGGGAAUAUUGGACAAUGGGCGAAAGCCUGAUCCAGCCAUGCCGCGUGUGUGAAGAAGGUCUUCGGAUUGUAAAGCACUUUAAGUUGGGAGGAAGGGCAGUAACCUAAUACGUUGCUGUCUUGACGUUACCGACAGAAUAAGCACCGGCUAACUCUGUGCCAGCAGCCGCGGUAAUACAGAGGGUGCAAGCGUUAAUCGGAAUUACUGGGCGUAAAGCGCGCGUAGGUGGUUUGUUAAGUCGGAUGUGAAAUCCCCGGGCUCAACCUGGGAACUGCAUUCAAAACUGACAAGCUAGAGUAUGGUAGAGGGUGGUGGAAUUUCCUGUGUAGCGGUGAAAUGCGUAGAUAUAGGAAGGAACACCAGUGGCGAAGGCGACCACCUGGACUGAUACUGACACUGAGGUGCGAAAGCGUGGGGAGCAAACAGGAUUAGAUACCCAAGUAGUCCCUGAGCGGGCUGGCAAGGCGCAU